GAUGAACGCUGGCGGCGUGCCUAAUACAUGCAAGUCGAGCGAACAGACGAGGAGCUUGCUCCUCUGACGUUAGCGGCGGACGGGUGAGUAACACGUGGAUAACCUACCUAUAAGACUGGGAUAACUUCGGGAAACCGGAGCUAAUACCGGAUAAUAUAUUUAACCGCAUGGUUCAAUAGUGAAAGACGGUUUUGCUGUCACUUAUAGAUUGAUCCGCGCCGCAUUAGCUAGUUGGUAAGGUAACGGCUUACCAAGGCGACGAUGCGUAGCCGACCUGAGAGGGUGAUCGGCCACACUGGAACUGAGACACGGUCCAGACUCCUACGGGAGGCAGCAGUAGGGAAUCUUCCGCAAAGGGCGAAAGCCUGACGGAGCAACGCCGCGUGAGUGAUGAAGGUCUUCGGAUCGUAAAACUCUGUUAUUAGGGAAGAACAAAUGUGUAAGUAACUAUGCACGUCUUGACGGUACCUAAUCAGAAAGCCACGGCUAACUACGUG
rnacentral:rRNA from 1 species